AUUGAACGCUGGCGGAAUGCUUUACACAUGCAAGUCGAACGGCAGCACGGACUUCGGUCUGGUGGCGAGUGGCGAACGGGUGAGUAACAUAUCGGAACGUAUCCAAUAAUGGGGGAUAACGAGUCGAAAGAUUCGCUAAUACCGCAUACGCCCUACGGGGGAAAGCUGGGGACCUUCGGGCCUGGCGUUAGUGGAGCGGCCGAUAUCUGAUUAGCUAGUUGGUGAGGUAAAGGCACACCAAGGCGACGAUCAGUAGCUGGUCUGAGAGGACGACCAGCCACACGGGAACUGAGACACGGUCCAGACUCCGACGGGAGGCAGCAGUGGGGAAUUUUGGACAAUGGGCGCAAGCCUGAUCCAGCCAUUCCGCGUGAGUGAAGAAGGCCUUCGGGUUGUAAAGCUCUUUCGCAAGGGAAGAAAACUUAGCCACUAACAUUGGUUGAGGUUGACGGUACCUUGAUAAGAAGCACCGGCUAACUACGUGCCAGCCGCCGCCGUAA
rnacentral:rRNA from 1 species